rnacentral:rRNA from 1 species
CUUGACAUCCCGAUGCUAUUUCUAGAGAUAGAAAGUUACUUCGGUACAUCGGUGACAGGUGGUGCAUGGUUGUCGUCAGCUCGUGUCGUGAGAUGUUGGGUUAAGUCCCGCAACGAGCGCAACCCCUAUUGUUAGUUGCCAUCAUUCAGUUGGGCACUCUAGCGAGACUGCCGGUAAUAACCGGAGAAGUGGGGAUGACGUCAAAUCAUCAUGCCCCUUAUGACCUGGGCUACACACGUGCUACAAUGGUUGGUACAACGAGUUGCGAGUCGGUGACGGCGAGCUAAUCUCUUAAAGCCAAUCUCAGUUCGGAUUGUAGGCUGCAACUCGCCUACAUGAAGUCGGAAUCGCUAGUAAUCGCGGAUCAGCACGCCGCGGUCGAAUACGUUCCCGGGCCUU